AGGAAUUGGCGGGGGAGCACCGCAACGGGAGGAGCGUGCGGUUUAAUUGGAUUCAACACCGGAAAACUCACCAAGGGCGACUAUCACAUGAAAGCCAGGCUAACGACCUUGCUUGAUUCUUAGAGAGGUGGUGCAUGGCCGUCGUCAGUUCGUACCGUAAGGCGUUCUCUUAAGUGAGAUAACGAACGAGACCCUCAUCUAUAAUUGCUACUUCACCCUCCGGGGUGGAGGCACAUUAUCGAGACCGCUGGCGCUAAGUCAGAGGAAGGAGAGGUCAACGGUAGGUCAGUAUGCCCCGAAUCUCUUGGGCUACACGCGCGCUACAAAGGGCGGGACAAUGGGCUACAACGCCGAAAGGCGAAGUCAAUCUCGAAACCCGUCCGUAGUUCGGAUUGAGGCUUGUAACUCAGCCUCAUGAAGCUGGAUUCCGUAGUAAUCGCGAAUCAAAAACUCGCGGUGAAUAUGCCCCUGCUCCUUGCACACACCGC
rnacentral:rRNA from 1 species